UCUUCCGAGUCCUUCCUCCAGGGUAGUUGGGGCAGCUGGAGAAGUGAAAAGACUGCAUUAGUGAACAAAAUAGACGAGGAGCUUCAUUAACUUCUAGUAGUAAAUACAGUUUUCAUCUUUCCCUUCAUCUUGACAGUGUGGAAGAGGGUUUUGCUUUCACGGGUCUAAUUUGAUUGCUGAGUGAGGUGUUUUACUUCCAUGUAGUGAUCAGAUUGAUGAAAAUGAUAAUGUGCUGUGUUCCCCAAAUGAUAGCAUCUUUACUUCACAUUCACUGGCCUGAUGAAAGGCAUGCAGAUCUCUGGGUGAACAGAAGUGUGUUUUUAUGAGUUAGUAAAAUAUAUCUAAUGGUCCAUUGUGGAAUGGGGAAAAGAGAAGGGGUCAUCAGUAGAGAAAGAAAUGCUUUGAGAAAGAAAUGUUCAUUCCAGUAGAUCUGUUCCUUCAACCUUAAAUGACAAAUGACCUGGCCAUAUUACUUUCUGAAAUAAUUCUCAGUGGGGCAUGUUCUACUCCCCUGCCUGAUGGGGAACAGCAUUUGGAAAAACCCCAAAAAAGAGCAGGUUUCAUAAAACCCUCACAACAACAGUUCUCACAACAACCUCAGAGAUGGGUCUAAGACAGCAGUUGCCAACCGGUGUGCCGGGACCAGUGGUGGUCCAUGAGGCCCGGAAGGUUGGCGACCGCUGGUCUAAGAGGUGGCCAGGCAAAUAGUGAACAUGAUUCAUCACAGAAAAUGCCCCAAAUCAGGAAACCAUGCCCUCUAAGGCUGUUUGUAAGAUUGUUUCGAAGGAGUUACCGAUUGAGGAAAAAGAGGAGACCACCAGGUGAUGGUCCUAGUGAGUGCUCGUCUGUGGUGGACACUUGCUUGGUGCUUUGUAGAUGGAACCAUUCAAGGAAGUGUGGUUAGUAUCCCUCCUUUUCAUUCAGAUAGACCCCAGCUCUGUGGUUAGGGCACUAGGAAAUGGCAGAGCCAGGAGGAAGCUAUGAGCUGUCUCUUGUCUCUUCAUUAGCAACAUAAAGAGCAUUGACAGCCCUGGCAGGUGGGCUCAGCUGGUUGGAGCAUCAUCCCCUGCACCUAAAGGUUGCGGGUUCCAGCCCCUGUGUGAGUGUAUGGAAGACAACCAAUCAUUUAUUCUCUCAUACACCGAUGUUUCUCGCCCCACCUCCUUCCCCUCUCACUAACAUCAGUAAAUCAUAUCCUGGGGUGAGGAUUUUAAAAAUGUAAAGAGCUUUGAUAGUGUAGAGACUAGCCUGAGGGACAUUUCACCUUGUAGUUAGUAAUAUAGUAGCUCUAAUCCUGGUUUUCAGAGUCACAACAGCCACAAUCUGGUCAGCGAUCUGCAUACCCUCUAACAAGCAAAUUCUCAUGCAUAUCAAGGAUUUUCUAUCUGAGUGUUACUUGCAUUGAUACCCUUUACAGCAAACUCUGGGAAAUUAGGCUGUCUAGGCGGCUGUUUAACCCAUCCUUCACUCCCUAGUUUGGUAACUCAUCUCUCAUAU